rnacentral:rRNA from 1 species
CCUACGGGGGGCAGCAGUGGGGAAUAUUGGGCAAUGGGCGCAAGCCUGACCCAGCAACGCCGCGUGAAGGAAGAAGGCUUUCGGGUUGUAAACUUCUUUUGGCAGGGAAGAGGAGAAGACGGUACCUGACGAAUAAGCCACGGCUAACUACGUGCCAGCAGCCGCGGUAAUACGUAGGUGGCAAGCGUUGUCCGGAUUUACUGGGUGUAAAGGGCGUGUAGCCGGGUUGACAAGUCAGCUGUGAAAUCCUGCGGCUUAACCGCAGAACUGCAUUUGAAACUGUUGAUCUUGAGUACUGGAGAGGCAGCCGGAAUUCCUCGUGUAGCGGUGAAAUGCGUAGAUAUUAGGAGGAACCCCAGUGGCGAAGGCGGUCUGCUGGACAGCAACUGACGGUGAGGCGCGAAAGCGUGGGGAGCAAACAGGAUUAGAUACCCUAGUAGUC